rnacentral:rRNA from 1 species
AGAGUUUGAUCCUGGCUCAGGAUGAACGCUGGCGGCGUGCUUAACACAUGCAAGUCGAACGAAGCACUUUAUUUGAUUUCCUUCGGGACUGAUUAUUUUGUGACUGAGUGGCGGACGGGUGAGUAACGCGUGGGUAACCUGCCUUGUACAGGGGGAUAACAGUUGGAAACGGCUGCUAAUACCGCAUAAGCGCACGGCAUCGCAUGAUGCAGUGUGAAAAACUCCGGUGGUAUAAGAUGGACCCGCGUUGGAUUAGCUAGUUGGUGAGGUAACGGCCCACCAAGGUAACGAUCCAUAGCCGACCUGAGAGGGUGACCGGCCACAUUGGGACUGAGACACGGCCCAAACUCCUACGGGAGGCAGCAGUGGGGAAUAUUGCACAAUGGGCGAAAGCCUGAUGCAGCGACGCCGCGUGGGCGAAGAAGUAUUUCGGUAUGUAAAGCUCUAUCAGCAGGGAAGAUAAUGACGGUACCUGACUAAGAAGCCCCGGCUAACUACGUGCCAGCAGCCGCGGUAAUACGUAGGGGCCAAGCGUUAUCCGGAUUUACUGGGUGUAAAGGGAGCGUAGACGGCAAGGCAAGUCUGAUGUGAAAACCCAGGGCUUAACCCUGGGACUGCAUUGGAAACUGUCUGGCUCGAGUGCCGGAGAGGUAAGCGGAAUUCCUAGUGUAGCGGUGAAAUGCGUAGAUAUUAGGAAGAACACCAGUGGCGAAGGCGGCUUACUGGACGGUAACUGACGUUGAGGCUCGAAAGCGUGGGGAGCAAACAGGAUUAGAUACCCUGGUAGUCCACGCCGUAAACGAUGA